rnacentral:rRNA from 1 species
UACGUAGGGUGCGAGCGCUAAUCGGAAUUACUGGGCGUAAAGCGUGCGCAGGCGGUUUUGUAAGCCAGAUGUGAAAUCCCCGGGCUCAACCUGGGAAUGGCAUUUGGGACUGCAAGGCUGGAGUACGGCAGAGGAGACUGGAAUUCCUGGUGUAGCAGUGAAAUGCGUAGAUAUCAGGAGGAAUACCGAUGGCGAAGGCAGGUCUCUGGGCUGAUACUGACGCUCAUGCACGAAAGCGUGGGGAGCAAACAGG